UGGGGAAUAUUGCACAAUGGGCGCAAGCCUGAUGCAGCCAUGCCGCGUGUAUGGAGAAGGCCUUCGGGUUGUAAAGUACUUUCAGCGAGGAGGAAGGCGGUAAGGUUAAUAACCUUAUCGAUUGACGUUACUCGCAGAAGAAGCACCGGCUAACUCCGUGCCAGCAGCCGCGGUAAUACGGAGGGUGCAAGCGUUAAUCGGAAUUACUGGGCGUAAAGCGCACGCAGGCGGUCUGUCAAGUCGGAUGUGAAAUCCCCGGGCUCAACCUGGGAACUGCAUUCGAAACUGGCAGGCUAGAGUCUUGUAGAGGGGGGUAGAAUUCCAGGUGUAGCGGUGAAAUGCGUAGAGAUCUGGAGGAAUACCGGUGGCGAAGGCGGCCCCCUGGACAAAGACUGACGCUCAGGUGCGAAAGCGUGGGGAGCAAACA
rnacentral:rRNA from 1 species